CCUACGGGAGGCAGCAGUGGGGAAUAUUGCACAAUGGGAGCGAAAGUCUGAUGCAGCAACGCCGCGUGGAGGAUGACACAUUUCGGUGCGUAAACUCCUUUUAUNUGGGAAGAUAAUGACGGUANCNUAUGAAUAAGCACCGGCUAACUCCGUGCCAGCAGCCGCGGUAAUA
rnacentral:rRNA from 1 species